rnacentral:rRNA from 1 species
UGUGUGAGGUACGGCCACCANGNCGACGACGGGUAGCUGGUCUGAGAGGACUACCAGCCCACUGGAACUGAGAUACGGUCCAGACUCCUACGGGAGGCAGCAGCGGGGAAUAUUGCACAAUGGGCGAAAGCCUGAUGCAGCGACGCCGCGUGAGGGAUGAAGGCCUUCGGGUCGUAAACCUCUUUCGGCAGGGACGAAGCGAUCAGUGACGGUACCUGCAGAAGAAGCCCCGGCUAACUACGUGCCAGCAGCCGCGGUAAGACGUAGGGGGCGAGCGUUGUCCGGAUUCAUUGGGCGUAAAGCGCGCGUAGGCGGCUGCGCAAGUCGGUUGUGAAAUUCCGGGGCUCAACCCCGGAACUGCGUCCGAUACUGCGUGGCUAGAGGUAGGUAGGGGGGAUCGGAAUUCCUGGUGUAGCGGUGAAAUGCGCAGAUAUCAGGAGGAACACCGGUGGCGAAGGCGGAUCUCUGGGCCUUACCUGACGCUCAGGCGCGAAAGCUAGGGGAGCGAACAGGAUUAGAUACCCUGGUAGUCCUAGCCGUAAACGUUGGGUGCUAGGUGUGGGCGGAUAUCGACCCCGUCCGUGCCGAAGCUAACGCAUUAAGCACCCCGCCUGGGGAGUACGGCCGCAAGGUUAAAACUCAAAGGAAUUGACGGGGGCCCGCACAAGCGGCGGAGCAUGUGGCUUAAUUCGAAGCAACGCGAAGAACCUUACCU